CUAUUGUCCUAUGACCCUGCCAAAUACCCCUCUGCGAGAAACACCCAAGAAUGAUCAAUUAAAACAAAAAACAAAAAACAAAAAAAAAAACAAAGUUACUGCAGAGUAGAGCUAAAAGACAACCUCACAACGGUUAGAUACACAGGCCCAUCUUCAUCACAUUUGCAUGUGCCAUUCUAGAUAUUUUCUUAGAAUACCACAAACUAAACCUGUGGUUACGAUCCAAGCAGAUUGAAAACUGCCUUGGCUGAGGCCAGAAAGAAUGGUUAAAGCUUGAAGACUGAUUUUUUUUACUUGAAACUGCUCUCCAGCACUUUCCCCAGCUACCCCAUCCAUUGCUAAUUAGAGGCAGCCAAGGCUUGACAUGUACACAGUUCUCUGUGGUAAAAUUGAUUAUUAUAUUACUAUGGAAAAUAAGGAAGUCAUUUCAUUCGAAAUAUCAAAUUCCACAAAAAUCAUACAUGGCAGCUGUUAGCAUAUGCAUGUGGGGGAAGGGCAAGUGUGUGAACAUAUUAACCCUCUCCCCUUCAGUUUUCUGACAUCUCAGAAUUGCAAGAAAGAAAAGAUUCCAAUGUAUAUAAGGCAGAAACCAAUGGCAAAGCUGCAUAAAAGCUAUUUUUGAGGUUAAAAAAAAAAUCUCCGUGAUAUAAGACACCCCGUCCAUGCCGUUUUAUGAGUAUGGAUUUGCUUUUACACACUUGCAAGCAGAAAACUAGUAUUCCUCUACCACAUGUGUUGAAGCUACUUGUAAUUGCAUCAGAUAGAGAAAUGAGGUGAGUCAUGUUUGGUUGUGCUUGAGUCUGCUAACAGACCAUCAUGUCCAUGUCCAAAUUUGUACCCUGAACCGCACAACAGAAGUUUAUGCACUUGCUUGCUUGCUUGGCGACAAUGAAAAUAGUUUUGUUUAAACACUUAACUUUACUUAAAGAUACCUAAGAGGUGCUGAAAUUCAUAUUCCAGCUACUUCAGGGGUGCUCAGAAGCUAUUCUCAAGCCUUGUUUCUUGGCGAAAUAUCCCCUGCUCAUGAAUUUUAACACGGCACUCCCCUCCUGGUCCAGAAUGAGUCAACACUCAACACAUACGAGAUGUUUCAAACACCUUUAAGUUCAUUUUCCAUCACUGCCAAAUUCCAGCAAUUAACACAAAGCACCUCACCCUUAAGAGAUGCCCAUCAUUUAUAAAGUUUUGGGAUUCUGAAUGCAUCCCCUUCCAUUCUCCCAGAUCUGGUGAUAACUCAAUCUGUUUUCCAGUAGCCUUGCGACUUUUCUUUAAAGAAGAGUUUAGUAACCAGCGUAAAAAGAGCAUCUAGACUUCCUGACAUUAGGAUCGCUGAUUUCACUGGGGUCAUGAGGAGCUGUUUUAGGUCACAUGUUAAACUGCCGUUGUGAAUCAUUUGUUAAUUUUUUUUUAAAACGGAGGGGGUGGGGACACAGACAAAUCGCAUACUCAUGCACAAAUGCUCAGCGCCGAGAACAUGUUUAGAGGUGCUGCCUGAACUGGAGAAUUAAAAAAGAAACAAAUAAACCUCGAUUUCUCCCUUGUGCUGGGGAAAGGAGAUGAACGGAGAUGACCCAUCAUUUCACCUACCCAGUGGUAACUGCAAUACCUUUCAGGAGGAAAAAGCACACAGCCCCUGAGAGGAAGGUCCUCACCCAUGGACGCAGCUUGCUGAUGGCAGUGAUAAGAUCAAUCAGGAUUUUGGGUUUGGCAAUUUCCCCCUAUACAACGAUAGUUUCCACCUUUCAUGCUGAGGUGCUUCUUGACUGGGAAGGAGUGGAAGAGGUCCUAGGUGCAGAAGGGUAUGGAAGAUAAGGUCAAAGGAUGUGCUGGUGGGAAUGGGAGACAACUGAGAAGGUGAGACAAGCUGGAGGAAAUGUCAGGAGCUGCUGAGAGAAGCUCAGCCUGACCAGAGAUGAGAAUUGCCAUCUUGAAUCGUCAGGAAGUGAAGGAAAGCCCAGGUGAAUGCCACCCAAUCAAAAAGAAAAAACAAAUGCAGAUGGUAAGGUAGAGAAGGCUCUGAAGCCCAGGUAAUGAGAGCCAUGUUACCCUGGACAGAAGCAUCCAACACCACACAUCUCCAAGGAUGUUGGAGAUCCAGCAUCUGGAUCCAGCUAACUUCUGCAUCCUCUUCUGUACUCACAAGAGUUAACAUGGACGUCCAUGCAUCUGCUGGACAACACCCCCUAGAACGAGUGUCUUUGUAUGUUUUCACACACAUAAUGAUGUUAUAUCUGCUGCCAUCCUACUGAGUAAGGG
rnacentral:lncRNA from 10 species